rnacentral:rRNA from 1 species
UACAGAGGUCUCAAGCGUUGUUCGGAUUCAUUGGGCGUAAAGGGUGCGUAGGCGGCUUGGUAAGUCGGGGGUGAAAUCUCGGAGCUUAACUCCGAAACUGCAUUCGAUACUGCCGUGCUUGAGGACUGGAGAGGAGACUGGAAUUUACGGUGUAGCGGUGAAAUGCGUAGAUAUCGUAAGGAAGACCAGUGGCGAAGGCGGUUCUCUGGACAGUACCUGACGCUGAGGCACGAAGGCCAGGGGAGCAAACGGG